GUUUCGUGUUGCUGUAGCUGCCAGUCCGGCCAUACAGCGUUGGUGCAUGGACGCCUCGCAGCUGGAGCCAUACUGUCCAGUGAAGAGGCUGUGCUGCUAGAUUUAAACAGAGUUUGAAGCUAUUGCUGUGAUAUAUCUUCUAUUUUCUGGCCUGAAAGACAUUCAGGGAAAGAGGAAGAGAUGGCAGUUUCUUGGGGCUCAGUGACCUAUGAAGAUGUAACUGUGAUAUUCACUCAAGAGGAGUGGGGACUAUUAAAUUCUUCAGAGAAGAAACUCUACAGAGAUGUGAUGUGUGAAAAUUUGAGGAACUUUCUUUCAAUAGGUAACUCUAAUCACCUUAAUUUUUCAACUAGAAGAGAAAUCAUUUUUUGUUCACCAUUGUAGAAAUGGCUAUACUGUUCAGUGAGCAAGGUUUUAUUUAUUUAUUUUUUAAUAUAUUUAUUUUAUUUAUUCCCUUUUGUUGCCCUUGUUGUUUUAUUGUUGUAGUUAUUAUUUUUGUUGUCGUUGUUGCAUAGGACAGCGAGAAAUGGAGAGAGGAGGAGAGAAAGAUAGACACCUACAGACCUGCUUCACCGCCUGUGAAGCGACUCCCCUGCAGGUCGGGAGCCAGGGUUCGAACUGGGAUCCUUAUGCCGGUCCUUGUUCUUUGCACCACCUGCGCUUAGCCCCGCUGCACUACAGCCUGACUCCCGAGCAAGGUUUUAUUGUGACUCAUGAGGGAAUUCAAUCUAUUUGUAUAAUUUCUAAUACUUUUUAUAUUUUGUAAUUUUAGAAAAGAUACAAGAACAUUCCACCAAAGGGCAGCAUAUCUUGCAUGGCAAUAAACAAA